rnacentral:rRNA from 1 species
GAUGAACGCUGGCGGCGUGCCUAAUACAUGCAAGUCGAGCGAACAGACGAGGAGCUUGCUCCUCUGACGUUAGCGGCGGACGGGUGAGUAACACGUGGAUAACCUACCUAUAAGACUGGGAUAACUUCGGGAAACCGGAGCUAAUACCGGAUAAUAUAUUUAACCGCAUGGUUCAAUAGUGAAAGACGGUUUUGCUGUCACUUAUAGAUGGAUCCGCGCCGCAUUAGCUAGUUGGUAAGGUAACGGCUUACCAAGGCAACGAUGCUUAGCCGACCUGAGAGGGGGAUCGGCCACACUGGAACUGAGACACGGUCAAGACUCCUACGGGAGGCAGCAGUAGGGAAUCUUCCGCAAUGGGCGAAAGCCUGACGGAGCAACGCCGCGUGAGUGAUGAAGGUCUUCGGAUCGUAAAACUCUGUUAUUAGGGAAGAACAAAUGUGUAAGUAACUAUGCACGUCUUGACGGUACCUAAUCAGAAAGCCACGGCUAACUACGUG